rnacentral:lncRNA from 1 species
AUUCAGGGGUGAGGCUCGAUUGCAGAGGGACCCAGGCCAGAGAUCAGGAACAGAGGCUCCAGGCAGAUUGGCGGCAGCAGCAAAAACAUCACAGGUCUAACAGCAGCUUCUCAUCAAGUUCAAGUCUUUAUCAUUAAAAUGCUUGAUUCUAAUAAACAGAAUUCUCCACUUGCUACUUCUGGUGAUGGGGCAGCCUGUUAGUUUUCAUCUUCACCUGCAUUUGACUUUGUGAGGCUGAAUCCUGACGUCUGGACCUUGACUUCCUGGGAAAGACAACUCACUCAUAGACAAAGGAGGGACAGAAAGACCUGCCCAGAGAAGAUGUUUUAACCUCUUUGUCCUCAGUUUCAAUCCCACUGUCUAAUCAUCAUUCCUCAAUCUUGGGGAAUAUGGGUGAAGACUGUUCUGGCUACUUCCUUC